rnacentral:lncRNA from 1 species
UCUAUGCUUACAUUUUUAUAACUCAAAGCUAAAAAAAAGUUUUGUACGAAUGUUUGAAAACAAAGUUGAGGAAUUUCAAGUGCAUUUAUAUGUUUUUAAGUGGUUUGGUGCAUAGAUUGUGGUGUUUUGGCUGCGUGUGGACAUAUUUUGAAACGGGAUAAUGAAUGUAAGCGAGCGCUCAUCCCAUCUGUCCUUUGCCCUAAUAGAAGCAAUGAUUGACUUCCUGGAAAGAAACCCAGAUUUGGCAAAGGGUUUUUCAAAAACUCAAUAUGCCAGAGAGUGGAGCACUAGCAAGUUUUGUCAUAGCGGCUCAAUAAUAUGGGUGGGACGAUUAAAACAUACAAGCAGUGGACCAAACAAUCAGACCCAAUACAAUUGGUUCCCCAGCCUCCCUCUUUAAUACAAAGCAGUGGACAUUCAGAAAUUUCAGUGAGUUGAAGAGCAGCAGUUAGAAAUUCAGCGGCCCAAUGCACCGGUCAAGGCGACCAUGAUGAAGCGCAGCAUUGAGAGAGACGGAAUUGCCGCUAACGCUGUGGCGGCAGUGGAGGAAGGAUUAAAUGCGCUAGCAGAAGCUAUUAGGUUGAA